UUCAGCGGGCUGUUCAGUGAGGACCAGACCCCUCCGAUUUGAGCAAGGGAGGUGCACUUCGCAGGGUCACACCGUCCUCAUCGCCCAGCCUAGACCUGCCCCUCAAGUCCUUCUGCGGACUCCCUUGGCGAGGGGGUGGCACAGAAUCAGCAUGUGGCAUCGCUUAGGAAAGGACGAGUCCACACCGCCCUGUCCCUCCCUCCAGGGCUGCGCACCACGGGGUAGGACAGACAGCGCAUGCUGGUUUUGUAGUUAGCAGGUCGGCGACCAAUGGGCUGGAAACCGUUAAGACACCAUAACUCCCAGCACUCCUAGCUAGGGACGCGCCUCCCUAUCCUUCGCUUCCAUACUACACACCGCCCCCAAACCCAGCGCAUGCUGAGAUUGUAGUCCGUUAGCCUCGCGACCAAUGGGCUGGAAAUACUGAAAGGACUAUGACUCCCAGGAUGCUUUGCGAGGUACCCGCCGUCCCGAUCCUUCCUCUAGGGCUGCGCACCGCCCCCAAGCCCAACGCAUACUGGGAUUGUAGUCAGGUAGUCCUGGGACCAACUGACUGGAAACUGUUAAGAGACCAUAACUGCCAGCACGCCUGGCUAAGGACGCACCUCCCUAUCCUUCCCUUCAGUGCUACACACCGCCUCGAAGCCCGGUGGCUGCUGGGAUUGUAGUCUGCAGGCCGGGGGCCAUCGCUGGAAACCGUUAAGAGACCAUAACUCCCAGCAUCCCUGGCCAGGGACGCGCCUCUCUAUCCUUCCCUCCAGCGUUACACACCGCCCCAAUCCCGGUGCAUGCUGGCAUUGUAGUUCGGUAGCCUUGCGAUCAACGUGCUGGAAACUGUUUAAGGACUAUGACUCCCAGGACGCCUUGCGAGGGACCCACCCUGUUGACCCUUCCUCCAGGGCUGGGAACCUCCCUUAAGCCCAGCGCAUGCUGGGAUCAUAGUCCGACUGCCGCGACAGAAAGGCUGGGAGUGGAUCUGAGACUACAGUUCCAACACUACGGGGAAAAUUUCAUCUUCUCUGAGACUACAGUUCCAACACUGAGGGGAUAAUUUCAUCUUCUCCUCCGCCCCUCCAUGUUUCCAGUGCAAUUCCGCCCUGCUGAGGGGAGCCUAUCUGUUCCCAAACUUCUGCGUGCGAGGAGACAGCGUGGCCAGGGCAGGUGGUCUCACUUGUAAUUGUGGCACAGUCUCCCCACGUGCCAGUUGUACGACUAUUUGUGCCUGAAGUUUGAUUUCUCUCUGACAAGACAGAGCCCGGGAGCCUCCAACAGCCUGCCCAGCGUUGCUGUAACGCUUGCUUUCGGGGAGCUGGGCGCGCCCAGACCUUUGCAGGGCCCCUCCCUCAGCCCCGACCCUUCUCCUCGCCCCUCCCCUGCCACGCCCCUUUCGACAUGCUGGAAAGUCAUCUACCUUUAAUAACAGUCAUCUUUGCAAAAAAAAAAAAAAAAAAAACUCUGAGAAUAACCUAUCUCCCAUUCUAUUUAGUAUUUAUUUCCAUAGUAUCCAUAAAUAGUAGCAAUUAGAUAUCACAGCAAGUCAAGCAAAAGCCCUGCCUUGCCUGUUUCAUAAACCACGAUAUGGCCUUGCUGUGGUUUUAUUUGUAUUUUGUUUUGUAUUUAUUGACCUUUUGGAUAUAAAUAUUUAGGUAUUUGGACAGUUUUUGGAAGUAUUCCGCUAUUAGUUGUUGAUUUACUUCUGUUCCCUAUUUAAUUAUUUUUUGUCUCUCCCUUCUCCUUAGACUCAGUCAUUCCACAGGUCUCGAGAGUUCUGUUCAUUUCCUUUAAACUUUUUGUACUUUUUUUUUUCCAGACUGGAUAAUUUCUAUUGCUGUGUCUUCUGUUUUAAAUCUAUGGCUAAACUCAAAAGAUUUUUUUCAUUUCCUUAUCUAUAAUUUUUUUAUAUAUAUGUUCAUUUCUCUGCUGAAGUUCCACAUCUGUUUGUUUAUGAAUAGAAUAUUUUCUUUUUUCCCCAUGAACAUAUUCAUAAAAACU
rnacentral:lncRNA from 1 species